ACAAGAACAACAAUGACUUUCAGCAUCAUCUUCAUCUGGACACUCACAGUGUUUGCUCAAGAGUGUAGAGGACAGUACACUGUUACUCAGAGUCCAUCAAUAACAGCAGUUCAACCAGGACAAAGUGUUCAAAUAAACUGUAAAGUCAGCAGUGCAGUGUAUAGUAAUGUCUUACACUGGUACUUACAGAAACCUGGAGAAGCUCCUAAACUCCUCAUAUAUAACACCAAUAGCCUCCAGUCUGGAGUAUCAUCUAGAUUCAGUGGCAGUGGAUCAAACACAGAUUUUACUCUGAGCAUCAGUGGAGUUCAGACUGAAGAUUCAGGAGAUUAUUACUGUCAGAGUGAACAUUAUAUCAACAGUAAAUAUGUGUUGACACAGUGAUAAAGAGUCGUACAAAAACCUCCGUCAGUCAGACUGAACAGUGACUGCACUGAUACACCUGACACAUACUGCAGCUGCUGAGAGACGAGAGUUUCUUUAAAUAAGAACAAUUGUAUUUUGUUUUACAUUAUUUUUUAAACCUUUUAGCAGUUGUUUAUUUAUUUACUUUUGAUUAUUGUUUUUUUUUAUUGGUUUGUUGCAAUUUUUACAAGCAAGUUACAAAACACUACACAACAGAUAAUCAAAAAUACACUUUUUCAAACAUUUUAGCAUGUUUACAAACAGUAACUGUCUUGCAUAAUGUUAUCAAAUUCAAACUUUUGAUUUGCAUCUCCUAUUAUUCUGUUUUAUAUAUUUGUCUCAUUUAAUUCAACUGAUCUUAGUGUUGAAUUAUUGAAUCAUUUAUUAUCUCCAUAGAUUUUUAACUGUUCUUAUUGUUGUCUGAUAAUGUUUAAGUUACAGUUGUAUUUUCACCAUCAACAUGAGCUUGUCACCUGUAACAGUGCGUGCGGGGAACACUCGAGAAACACAGAUAAUCCAAAAGGGUUUAAUAUUAUCCAAGAGAAAACAGGCAGACGCACAUCACCACAUACAUAAACAUGUAUUUACAUUAACAAUACCGUACAAGGAGCCAAACCAAGAAGAGAACUUAAAUAAUACAGAUAACGUAGAGUACAGAUGAUGGGGAUCAUCAGAGAUGGGUGCAAAGGAUUAUGGGGAGUGUAGUCCAGUGGUGAAAGAGGGCAGACAGUGGAUUAUGACAUCAAUCUUCUUCAAGACAUGGAUGAAGCUUGUAAUGAUAUAACCGCAGAGCAACAUCAAGCCUGGAUUCUUCAUACCAGAAGGUUUUUCCCACAGUGUCUGAACAAUAAGAACAUUCGCUGUGAUUUUGAUGGAACUUUAUGUCUAAAUGUUGAAGAUUGGCUUGAUGAUAAUGAAUAUUUUUUGGUUUCAGAUAUCCAUUACUGUUAUUUCCUUUUUUUACAAUGCACCAACAGUAUUGCACAAACUGUAAAAUAAACAAAAAAUACUU